rnacentral:rRNA from 1 species
UACAGAGGGUGCGAGCGUUAAUCGGAAUUACUGGGCGUAAAGCGUGCGUAGACGGUCAAGUAAGUCGGGUGUGAAAGCCCCGGGCUCAACCUGGGAAUUGCAUUCGAGACUGCGUGGCUAGGGUGCGGAAGAGGGAAGCGGAAUUUCCGGUGUAGCGGUGAAAUUCGUAGAUAUCGGGAGGAACACCAGUGGCGAAGGCGGCGAUCUGGGAAGAGUACUGACGCUGAGGUGCGAAAGCGUGGGGAGCAAACAGGG